rnacentral:rRNA from 1 species
UACGAAGGGGGCUAGCGUUGCUCGGAAUCACUGGGCGUAAAGGGUGCGUAGGCGGGUCUUAAGUCAGGGGUGAAAUCCUGGAGCUCAACUCCAGAACUGCCUUUGAUACUGAAGAUCUUGAGUUCGGGAGAGGUGAGUGGAACUGGCGAGUGUAGAGGUGAAAUUCGUAGAUAUUCGCAAGAACACCAGUGGCGAAGGCGGCUCACUGGCCCGAUACUGACGCUGAGGCACGAAAGCGUGGGGAGCAAACAGG